GCAAUGAUGGAACAUGAGGAGAUAUACAAGCUUAUAAACUAACUACUCAAAGAAUGACAACCAUGCUUCUACUUUAACUUGGAUCCAAUCCCAACAAAAUCCUUAACUGUAAAACCAACUUUCUCGAAUUUACCUUUCUCAUUUGUCACUCUAAAGUUUAAAUAGUCAGAGCAAACAAAUGACUUGUAGAGUCUUGAAUUUUCUUCACCAACUACUUCAUCA
rnacentral:misc_RNA from 1 species